rnacentral:rRNA from 1 species
GUGAAUCAUCGAGUCUUUGAACGCACAUUGCGCCUUCCGGUAUUCCGGGAGGCAUGCCUGUCUGAGCGUCAGUGAAUCCUCAUACGAUUGAUGUGUAUUCAUCAAACGUGUGGUUGUGAGCCGUGAGAUUCGUCUCUGGCUUGAAAUGCAUCGGCGGUGUCGCCUGGAUACUUUAAUGUGAUAGGUAUUUCCAACUCAUUAUCUCCAGGUGGUUGCACUGCUAUAACUUUUACUGUACUUCUUGACCUCAGAUCAGGUAGGGUAGUACCCGCUGAACUUAAGCAUAUCAAUAAGCGGAGG